CGUAGGGGGCAAGCGUUGUCCGGAUUUAUUGGGCGUAAAGAGCUCGUAGGUGGUUCGGUAAGUCGGAUGUGAAAUCUCCAGGCUCAACCUGGAGGGGUCAUUCGAUACUGCCGUGACUAGAGUUCGGUAGGGGAGUGUGGAAUUCCUGGUGGAGCGGUGAAAUGCGCAGAUAUCAGGAGGAACACCCGUAGCGAAGGCGGCACUCUGGGCCGAUACUGACACUGAGGAGCGAAAGCGUGGGGAGCGAACAGGAUUAGAUACCCUGGUAGUCCACGCCGUAAACGUUGGGCACUAGGUGUGGGACUCUAUCGACGGGUUCCGUGCCGUAGCUAACGCAUUAAGUGCCCCGCCUGGGGAGUACGGCCGCAAGGCUA
rnacentral:rRNA from 1 species